rnacentral:rRNA from 1 species
UACGGAGGGUGCAAGCGUUGUUCGGAAUUACUGGGCGUAAAGCGCACGUAGGCGGGUUCGUAAGUCGAUUGUGAAAGCCCCGGGCUCAAUCCGGGAAUUGCAGUCGAAACUACGAGUCUUGAAUACCUGAGAGGGUGACGGAAUUCCUGGUGUAGAAGUGAAAUUCGUAGAUAUCAGGAGGAACACCGGAGGCGAAGGCGGUUGCCUGGCAGUGUAUUGACGCUGAGGUGCGAAAGCGUGGGGAGCAAACAGG